GAUGAACGCUGGCGGCGUGCCUAAUACAUGCAAGUAGAACGCUGAAGGAAGGAGCUUGCUCUUUCCGGAUGAGUUGCGAACGGGUGAGUAACGCGUAGGUAACCUGCCUGGUAGCGGGGGAUAACUAUUGGAAACGAAAGCUAAUACCGCAUAACAGUAGAUGUUGCAUGAUAUCUACUUAAAAGGUGCAAUUGCACCACUACCAGAUGGACCUGCGUUGUAUUAGCUAGUUGGUGAGGUAACGGCUCACCAAGGCGACGAUACAUAGCCGACCUGAGAGGGUGAUCGGCCACACUGGGACUGAGACACGGCCCAGACUCCUACGGGAGGCAGCAGUAGGGAAUCUUCGGCAAUGGACGGAGGUCUGACCGAGCAACGCCGCGUGAGUGAAGAAGGUUUUCGGAUCGUAAAGCUCUGUUGUAAGAGAAGAACGAGUGUGAGAGUGGAAAGUUCACACUGUGACGGUAUCUUACCAGAAAGGGACGGCUAACUACGUG
rnacentral:rRNA from 1 species